UACGUAGGCAGCGAGCGUUGUUCGGAGUUACUGGGCGUAAAGGGUGCGUAGGCGGUUUGAUAAGUCUGAUGUGAAAUCCCGCAGCUUAACUGCGGAACUGCAUUGGAAACUAUUUGACUAGAGGAAUGGAGGGGAGACUGGAAUACUUGGUGUAGCAGUGAAAUGCGUAGAUAUCAAGUGGAACACCAGUGGCGAAGGCGAGUCUCUGGACAUUUCCUGACGCUGAGGCACGAAAGCCAGGGGAGCAAACGGG
rnacentral:rRNA from 1 species